rnacentral:lncRNA from 1 species
CUAGGUGUCACUGAUGGAUUGUGAGAGCUCACUAGGAUUAUUCUGGAUCGACCAUCCUUACUGAGUUAGAGUAGAAUUGUUCUGACCCAUUAAAAAGAGUUUCAAUAAUAUAAUGAUAGAGAUUAUUGUAUAUCUCACUACCAGAUAGAAUUGAAUAUAUGAGGUCACACAACAAAGGGAUUAGGUCUGGAAUAAGAAAUUGAGUUUAUGAAGUGUCAAUUGG